AGUGAACGCUGGCGGUAGGCCUAACACAUGCAAGUCGAACGGCAGCACAGUAAAAGCUUGCUCUUACGGGUGGCGAGUGGCAGACGGGUGAGGCAUACAUCGGAAUCUACUUUUUCGUGGGGGAUAACGUAGGGAAACUUACGCUAAUACCGCAUACGACCUACGGGUGAAAGCAGGGGAUCUUCGGACCUUGCGCGAUUGAUUGAGCCGAUGUCGGAUUAGCUAGUUGGCGGGGUAAAGGCCCACCAAGGCGACGAUCCGUAGCUGGUCUGAGAGGAUGACCAGCCACACUGGAACUGAGACACGGUCCAGACUCCUACGGGAGGCAGCAGUGGGGAAUAUUGGACAAUGGGCGCAAGCCUGAUCCAGCCAUACCGCGUGGGUGAAGAAGGCCUUCGGGUUGUAAAGCCCUUUUGUUGGGAAAGAAAAGCAGCAGGUUAAUACCCCGAUGUUCUGACGGUACCCAAAGAAUAAGCACCGGCUAACUUCGUG
rnacentral:rRNA from 1 species